CCAAUAGCGUAUAUUAAAGUUGUUGCAGUUAAAAAGCUCGUAGUUGAAUUUCGAGACCGGCUUACUGGUCGUGCUUUUGUACGUACUGGUAUAAUCGGUUUCUCCUUUCUGACGAACUAUAAUGCCAUUAAUUUGGUGUUAUAGGGAAUCAGGACUGUUACUUUGAAAAAAUUAGAGUGUUUAAAGCAGGCUCACGCUUGAAUACAUUAGCAUGGAAUAACGGAAUAGGACGUUUGAUUCUAUUUUGUUGGUUUCUAGGAUCGACGUAAUGAUUAAUAGGGAUAGUUGGGGGCAUUAGUAUUCAAUUGUCAGAGGUGAAAUUCUUGGAUUUAUUGAAGACUAACUACUGCGAAAGCAUUUGCCAAGGAUGUUUUCAUUAAUCAAGAACGAAAGUUAGGGGAUCGAAGACGAUCAGGUACCGUCGUAGUCUUAACCAUAAACUAUGCCGACUAGGGAUCGGAUGAUGUUAAUUUUUUAAUGACUCAUUCGGCGCCUUACG
rnacentral:rRNA from 1 species